AUGUAUUUAGUGUGUAUAUUUGCAUAUGCAUGACGUCAUGACGUAAGGACGUAAAAGAACUGGUGAACCGGUUUUUUGAACCGGUUCUUUGAAACGAACUGUCCGAAAGAACUGAUUCGCAAAAAAGAAUCGGACUUCCCAUCACUAACUGAGCGUCUCUCACACCACAGUUUGCUCGGAAAAGGGCGCGCUUCAUACGGCCUGCUGAACUUAUCCACGAAAGAGGGGAGGCUGACAAAUUUGCCAAAUUGCAUAUUGGAUGGCAUGCAUUGAUUUAAAACAGUAAAUAUAUUUCUAAGAAGUUUUUCUUUCUCUGUCGGGUAAUGAGCCAAGAAAGAGAGACAUUUUUGCAAAACACGAAAGUUUAGAAACAUAUUGGUUACCCCCCUACAGAGAAAGUGGUAUGUUCCGGUAACUUUUUGUGACGGGAAAAACAAGGAGGAAAAAAUAUAUAAUAUAUAUAUACUGUAUGUAUAUCAUAUAUAUCAUAUAUCAUAUUUUCGAGUUUGUUGUGAAAUGGCGCACGCAGGGUUUGUGGAACAGAACCAAUAUAACUGCACCAUCUGUCAGGAGGAGCUGAAGGACCCGGUGACGCUUCCUUGUGGCCACAACUUCUGUAAAGCCCGCAUUACGGCUAUUGGGACCAGGGCGUGUAUGUCUGCUCUCAGUGCAGAGCUUCACUAGGAGGCCCGUUCUGGGCACGAACACGAUGCUGGUCUACGCGAUGGAUAAAAUAAAACAGACCGCGAUCCGUGCAGCUUCUGCGCCGAGAGCCGAGAGUCAGAAUGUGAGCAGAUCAGAAGAUCAGAGUGACCUGGAAUCGUUUGCAGAGACCAUGAAGCAGGACAAAGAGAACAUGUAAAAAGCAGGCAGUCAAAGACCUCUCUGCAGUUGCGGAAAAGGGAAGCCAGUGGCUGUGGGUGAAGAGAAAAGACUCCGCCUGGGUCUUUAAGCGAGUUGAUGGCAUAUAGGGAGUGAACCUGGGACGCUGGGAUUCACUGCCGAACUCUCUGGAGGUGUCGUGGGCCUAUCAGCGAAACACCCAGGAAGGCGGGCGCCCACUUGACAACCCAAAGGGUGCCAUCACUCAGUGGACCUUUUCACAGAGUCUUAGCGGUGCCUCAGUAUACUGAGUUGAGAAGGAGCCACCUCAGGAGAAGGAAGGACUGAGGAGUAGUGUGGCAGAGGGUUCCACCACUGAAUAGACCAUCCCACAGAGUCUCAUCGGUGCCUCAAUGUUUGCUAAAAUGAAGGCCAUGGCGUUCAAUAUAUACAGCAUUCUGCAGAAGAGUAUUGAGAGUCAGAGUCAGGCUCCCAACGCAGCGUCUGCACCACAGGCUGCUCCAGCUCCCAAACCCUCUGUGGUGGUAAAGGAUGAGGACGAGGACGACGAGGACGACGGGGAAGGGGAAGAGGCAUAGCGCAUUAAGGCCCAGAGGGUGCAGGAGUACGCUACGUAGCACCAGGAACGCCGUUCAUUAAUUCUUCACAUUUUGCAUGCAGGUCCAGAGCGUUUGACAAUCAUCACCUCAUUUCAAACGGCUGUCUGCUGCUUUUUUAUCGCACAGUUACAGAGUGUUGAUUUCUUUUUAAUUCACAUUUAAUUGUAUAACAAUGGACAUUCUCCCCAUGCAGCAUUACAGAAUGCAAUACAUUUUAAAUAUAAAAUUUUCAUCAUAAAUCUGUUCCUAUACAUUAAUCUUUAUUGAGUGAACCAGUGGCGAACUGCCUGAGACAGUAUGAGGAAGAAACAUUGAGAGGAACCAGACUCCAGAGGGAGCUGUUCCCAUCUGGGUGACAAAGAAAGUCUAUUCAUACUCGAUCAAUUGGUUACUGUACAUGGCAACUGCAACCCUAAGCGAUUGUAGCAGACUGUAUUAGUUACAGUCCAAAUUUAUCUUCAUGGUUCGACUAUAAAGCUCCACAGCAACCUCAAGGCUGUUCAUGUGAAGUUAUCUGAAGCAGCAAAUGGUUUACAUGGAACACGUGGUAGUUCCAUGUAAACCAUUUCGUGAGUACGUCCCCUUGUACAGCAAUACAGUGCUCCCAACGCUCCUGCCACUUCUGGAAUGUGUCCUGGAAGUCUUCUUUUCGAAAAUGGUGUUGAAACGUCGACCUUUAAACUGGAUCUUCAUCUUCGGGAGGAGGGCGAAGUCUGCAUGAGCCGAAUCUGGUAAAUUGGGUGGGUGCAGAAGUGAGACUGUGUUUUCGGCAAGAAACCUGCGUGUUAGGAGAGCUCGUGACUGCAUUAUCGUCGUGGAGCAUCCAGUUUGCUAAACCUUCAUACUGUCCACGUUGCAAUGGCACCGUUUGCACAGCUCCUGACGUACACAGGAUGAUAUCUUUUGGCACACUUACUUAAGAAGGUCGGUGCUCCCUGUGACUGUGUGUGUUGGGGUGUUGAAAACUAUUAACGUAUAAAACGUAUAUAAACAUUUUAAUACCUCAUACAUCUCUAGAUCAAUACAGAUAUAGAGGUACUAGAUAGACUUUUUUACAAACUUUUUUUAAUCAGACUGGUUAUUAGAAAUGGAAGAUCUACAACAAGUCCACUUGAGAUGCUUUGUGGAUUCACCCUAAGCUGAGAAUUUAAGGAUGGAGCUCAGCUUGAGUGUGGAACCAGGCCCAAGCCAA